rnacentral:rRNA from 1 species
GACGAACGCUGGCGGCGUGCUUAACACAUGCAAGUCGAACGGAAAGGCCCUGCUUUUGUGGGGUGCUCGAGUGGCGAACGGGUGAGUAACACGUGAGUAACCUGCCCUUGACUUUGGGAUAACUUCAGGAAACUGGGGCUACUACCGGAUAGGAGCUACUGCUGCAUGGUGGGGGGUGGAAAGUUUCGGCGGUUGGGGAUGGACUCGCGGCUUAUCAGCUUGUUGGUGGGGUAGUGGCUUACCAAGGCGUUGACGGGUAGCCGGCCUGAGAGGGUGACCGGCCACAUUGGGACUGAGCUACGGCCCAGACUCCGUCGGGAGUCAGCAGUGGGGAAUAUUGCACUAUGGGCGGAACCCUGAUGCAGCAACGCCGCGUUCCGGAUUACGGCCUUCUUGUUGUAAACCGCUUUCGCCUGUGACGAAGCGUGAGUGACGGUAAUGGGUAAAGAAGCACCGGCUAACUACGUG